rnacentral:lncRNA from 1 species
CGAGACCAUCCUGGCUAACACGGUGAAACCCCGUCUCUACUAAAAAUACAAAAAGUUAGCCGGGCCUGGUGGUGGGUGCCUGUAGUCCCAGCUACUCAGGAGGCUGAGGCAGGAGAAUGGCGUGAACCCAGGAGACGGAGCUUGCAGUGAGGCAAGACUGGGCCACUGCACUGCAGCCUGGGUGACAGAGCAAGACUCCGUCUCAAAAAAUAAAUAAAUAAAUAAUAAAUAAAUAAAUAAAUAAAUAAAUAGAAGGGAAGGCUUACUCUCAGAUACACACACACAAAAUAGGUUGGAAGAAGUACCAAAACUUAAGCACUAAAGGGUAUAUUGUACAAAAUGGUUCUGUCUUCAAAGACAAAAAUCAACUCUCUGACUUUAGUUUGAAAGGCAAUUCAAUUUAGUUUAAAAAGCCAAACUUUAUUUAUAAGCUUCCAACACUAAGACUUGGUGCAACCAAAUUUUCUACUUGCCAACUUUAUUUUGCAUUUAUUCUGUAUAUAUUCAUAAGUGUAUAUAUAUAUGCAUAUCUGUGCAUAGGCAUGUGUACACAGAGCCACUGUUGUGGUCGGGACAUUCAUACCAUCCAGUAAUCUUGGCUAAUACCCAGCAUUAACGGAAAGUGAUUUAAGCAAAUGGGGGCUAACAUGAGAAAAGAUCGUGCUUAUAGGGAAAUUUUAACACAGCUCUUUGGUUGCUCUAUGGAAAUGUGUGGCUUUGUUUCCAUGCAGACUGUACUGAAAGAUCCCAUAUUGUCAGCAGCACUUGUAUAUACUUUGGAAGUUUUGUCCAAGUUUCAUAAAUCUUGUCAUAUAUCAAGUUAUUCUAAAUAUGGCCAAAGUAAAUAAUCUGCAGCCAGAAGAGUGAAAGGUCAUUUGUGCCCUAAUUGCAGAACAAUGUCCUCUCUCAGUCAAUGCCACGGCUCUCCUUUCAUUAAUCAGGCCUUUGGUGAGUAACAUCUAUUCAUGUUAGAGUUUUCUCUGAACAAGUUUCAGAAUAUAAACCAGUCUGGAAUUGAGAUAUUUAAUUGUUUGGGUGAUAGUCAAAAAACUCUCAUGUAGCUUUUUUUUCUUUUUUAAUAAUUGUAAUAUUGAGAAACAAGAUAAACUUAAGAGGAACGUCAAUCUCAGCAAUUUGGAAACACUCAUAAAUCCUCUCACCCCUGUUACCCCUGGCUAAACAUGAUUCAGCUUCAUUCUCUAGUUUGAUGUUCUCCCCCACCCUCCAUUUUCAGCUAUUAAUCUCAUUGAGCUUCUCUGUCUUGACAUUAAACUACUCAAAAUUUAACAAAACAUUACUCAGACUCCAGAGACACGGAUUCUUCAUGCUUUUGUGUGAAAGCUGCUUUUAUCUAGACAUUCCUUUACAAGCAUGUAAAACCAAGAUAGAACUGUGACCUCCUGUUGGAUAGCUUUAGGGGUCUGAUAUUCAGCAGUUCUUGUAGGGCUUCCAUCCAAACACUGGUUUGGCGUUUCAACUUUACCUCCUUCUUGUACCUGAGAUAUAAUUAGUGUUACCUACAUCUCAGGUAGGGUACUUGCCUUUUUCUCUGAUGGCAGCCACCUUCUUAUUACCCCCAUCCAGUAAUUUGUCUGAGGGCAGAACCUGUGUCUCCCUUUUGCUAUUUUCUGUUUCAUUAAUUCCCAAGGAGAGCAUAUGCACUGUCUUACUGUGUUUAAACAAAAUUCACUUAAGUGAUAAGAUACUGAGAGUAAAGACUGAUGCAAAGGGUUGUCCUACUCUUGGCAAAGCAAACAAACAGAUAAGCAAAAAACUAGACCUGAGGUUCUAUACGUAGCCAUCCAUCCAUCCAUCCAUUCAUCCAAUAGGUAUUAGGUGCCUACCAUGCAUCAGUACUGAUACAAUGAUGACUAGGACAGAAUCCCUGUUUUCCUAGGGCUUAUAUUCCAGUGGGGAAUGACAGGUAGUACAUAUAUACAAAUAACAUAGUUUCUAUUACUGAGAACCACAGACAAACUAACAAGAGCAUUGCCAUGGAGAGAAAGGUUCUGGAGAGUAGGAGUUUAAUAUUAAAUAGAAUGCCUGGGAAGUCCACCCUGAGAACAUGAUAUUUGAGUUGAAUCAUAAGAAACAGCUAGCUGUAGGAGGGCAAGGGGACAUUGUAGUCAGAGCGGGCAUCUGGUGCAAAGGCAUGGAAUCAGGAAAUCGUUUGGAGUAUCAGAGAAAAUGGUCUAAAAGCCAUAUAGUCUUUGGAGUGGCCAGUUUGGGCUUUUUAUUAGUUGGGACCUUUGGAGGGGAACCUGUGGGCAUAUGUGUGUUUUGAAAGAGACACCUGCAUCCUUUGACCUCUAGCUCUGAAUCUUAGAGUGGUCAUGGCUCAGUGGAGCCAGGUGCCUGCACAUUGGAUUUUUCUGAUUAUUUCCCCUGCAUCUCACUCAGGAACUGAUCAUCAAGAAAACUAAAAUCAAAAUUGAACAUCUCCAAGAUACAAUCUAAUCUAUGAGUUAGAAGUAAAUGGCUCAUUUGUCUCACAGAGCGAAAGACCAAUAUAAAUGAUGGGGAAAAAUCGACCUGGUUUCCUGGGAACUGUUUUGUUCCAAUCUUUUCCAUUCCAUUUCAUCCUAUCCCAUCCCUUUCCCCAAUUCUCUGCCCUUGAAUAAUGUCUUUUUGUUGCAACUUGCUGCCUUAUUUCUAAUUAAAUGCUGCUUUUAAUUUUAAACAGUUUCUACUGAUAUGAAAUGGUUGAAUUCAUAAAAUUAAGUUUAUUAUUUUCUGUUGGGGUCUCUGACACGCCUAGAUUUGUUCCUUAAUUUGGGAAUACAUGAACUACACCUAUUGACUCAAUCUUUGAUAGAAAUUGAUGAAAUAUUGUGACUUUAAAAAAAAUUAUCAUUGCUUCCUUCAUCCUGUUGUUGGGGGCGUCUCCAGAAUGUUGGAUCCUAGGCUACAGAGAGAGGGGUGAACAUAGUGUGAUCCCACCUUCGCAGCUCCCACAGUGUAUGGGGAACAAAAACAAAGAAAGUAGCAGAAAGAGGCAGAAGUGAGGUCCUAGGGCAACCAAGAGUCAAUUCAUUUGCUCUGGAAAAAGGCCAAGGCAAGUCAGGAAGAAGUUGGAGAGUGGCUAGAGUUAGGCACGUAGUCUCCAGCUCCCCUGACAUUGCCAGUUCGGCUCACUACAAGGAGGGCAGCAGCAGAUCCAAUCUCACCUCUCCAGCUUCUGGGAAGAAGACACUACUCUCUCAGGUUAGUUCCAUGACUUGACUAAAUGGGGGCUUGGCUAUCUUGACAGAGUCUCAUUCCAGCCCUGUUCACAUGCUCGGUGGUUGUGGAAAUACAGACUCCAAGUCAUUCAACACUUUUAGCACCUUCCUGAGACCAUUUACUCUCUAAAAUGGAGUCUACCUGCUUCCACCUGAGAGCUAAAGAACCUUCUCUUUGAUCAAGCUGAGUUCCAGAGUUCCAAGUUUCCCAGGAUUCAGAGAUCCCUGGCCCAGCUGUGAUAUGCAGUCUCAAAACACAAAACAUCUGGAGAGAUGAUAUGAACAGUUCAUCUUUCCCUAUUUAUAUUUGAAGGCUAAGGCAAUGUUUAUGGAAUAAAGAAUUUGUUUAAAUGAAUGUCUGAACAUUAUGAAUUCCUUGUUAUACUUUAUCUGGCUUCACAAUUGAUGUAGUGAACCAAGAUCUCUCUAUACAUAUACUCACAUGCAUACACAUACACAUAGGCUUAUAGUCAUAAAGCUAUAUAGUCAUAUAUACAUGUAUCUAUAUAUCAAAAAAGAGAUUGUUAUUUUUCUUUAUGUACCUAGGGAAAUCCCUGAACCUAUUAAGGCCACUAUAUUCAUUUCUCUAAAGUCUAAAAGCAGACUGGAAGGAUGGAAUAUGAGUAUAACACGAAAGUAAUAUUUUUCACAAAGUCAUGGCUAUUAAGAACCUUAUAGUCUUUGAGUGGAGUGUAUAAUUUGAAAUUAAAGUUUCAUAACUGAGUAUCCUUCUUUUUAGAAGAAAAAUGUUCUCAUAAAUCUGUUACCCAAAAUGCUUUUGAAAGAAAAUUUACCAUUUUCUUCAACUUUAAAAUCAUACUUGCAAGGGAAGCUCUGUGCAGAGAUGUUUGGCAUAAAUAUGAAUGACAAUAUAUAAAAACUAUUACCACACUACUAAAAAAUGUUGGGCAGCUUUGACCUGGUUAUUUGAUUGAACUUUCUGAAUCUGAUUUGUCAACUGAAGACAAGUAAAAGUUUUUUUACAAAUUCUAUCCUUAGCCUCUCAAUUAAUCUCAAAUAUUUGUUCAGAGAAAUAAUUGAAAAUUCUGACUGUAUCCUGACUGAAAUGUGGAUCACUGGGGGCCUCAAAGCUUCAGUGUGUUUAGUUCCCUAUGGUUUUGAGGCACAUGCCCUAUGUGAACCUUUUGAAGGACAGAAAAAUUCAUAACUGACUAGCAAUUGGUUAACUUUAGUUAAAAAGUGAAACACCUACUCUAGUGGUGCAAAAGAUGUCUGCAAAGGGCAAAAUCUUCAGCUUUGAAAGGCAUUCAGCAAUGUCAAUAGACUAGCACUUGAGAGUCACCUAAAAUUUAUUUGUAUUACUUUUCACCCAAUUUUAAAGAAGAAUAUUUCUAAGAUAAAAGCUUAAAACUUUUUAAUUAAAAAAAAAAAACUAAACUCAGUACUCCUAAGCCUUCAUAGAUAUAUACUUCAGUAUCUUGCAUGACAUUGAAAGCUCUAAUAACCAAAUUCUUUCCUGACUCCUAAUUAUGUGUCCUUGUUCUUCUGUUUAAAGUAACAUUUUGUGUCUAUUUGUGUAUAUGCAUGUGUACACAUUUGUGUGAGUUCACAAAUGAUUACUCUGAUGAAUGUUAAUUUAUAUCAAUCUAACCAAAAUAAAAU